GACAGAGGGUGCAAGCGUUGUUCGGAAUUACUGGGCGUAAAGCGCGUGUAGGCGGCCUGAAAAGUCGGAUGUGAAAGCCCUAGGCUCAACCUAGGAAGUGCAUCCGAAACUGCCAGGCUUGAGUGCUGGAGAGGUACGGGGAAUUCCCGGUGUAGAGGUGAAAUUCGUAGAUAUCGGGAGGAACACCGGCGGCGAAGGCGGUUCUCUGGGCCUUACCUGACGCUGAGGAGCGAAAGCGUGGGGAGCGAACAGG
rnacentral:rRNA from 1 species